GCCAAUUCCUGUCCGGAGAGGUGACUCAUUUAGUGUAAGUAUAAAUGUGACACUUUUAAAAGUGAUUUAUUGGGAUAAGCAGGUGUUGGAAAAAUACAAUCACGGACAAUGGGCCUGUGCUGCAGUUGCUGCUGUGAUGACGGGGGCGGUGUGAAUGUAGUCCAACAGCCGAAUGAGGGCGGCGGCUGGGGCGGAGGCCCGCCCUCCGUCAUGGUGGUAGAUGACGCACCCGGACCCAUGGGCAGAUGAUAGUACUACUUUUAGAAUUAAAUUAUUCUAAUUUAUUAUUCUUUUGUAAUUUUUAUUAAUAUUUUAAUUAUAUUAAUAAAAAAAU